CUCCACAACAAAUGCGUGGAGUACUUUUCGUGACACUCUUGCGCAGGGGAUGUAUAAUGCUUAUAGGGCUUCUCAUUGAUUAUUUCAUGAAUGGACAUUUUGGAGGGCUCUAUUGCUGUUCGUGGUAGGGGGAAAACAAAAGGAAGUGGAUUCCUGUUGAAGAUGAUGAACUGAUCAAAGCAUUGGUUGAUGUUUCUUUGGAUCCGAGGUGGAGGAGUGAUGGGAGUUUCAAGAAUGGUUACACUUCAGUACUUGAAGCUCGCCUCGCUGAAAAGCUACAUGAUUCAAAAAUUUCUGCAACUCCUCAUAUCGAGUAAAGGUUAAGAUACUUCAAGACAAAGUAUUCUGCUUUGGAGCAGAUGUUGAACAAGAGUGGGUUCACAUGGGAUCCGACCAAGAAGAUGAUUUAGUGCGAGAAACAACAAUAUGAGACACAUUGCAAGAAUAAUCCAGAUGCAAAAGGGUUGUAUGGAGUGUCCUUUCCUUACUAUGAUGAACUUUCAAUGGUAUAUU